AUGAUCAUGCGAUAUGGGUUACAAGCAAACCUGACGAACAGGCUAACCGCGGCUGCUACACGCGAACUCGCUGCUCUCUCCUUGUUGUUGCAGGACUUUCAGCUUACUGACGCCCCGGACGAACGGUUCCUGACCCAUGGCAAGGGAUACUCCUCCAGGCAGGCGUACCAGCUCCUACUUCAGGAGGAUAUUGAGGACGACCACGCGGCGCUGAUCUGGCGAUCCAGAGCCCCUCACAAGCUCAAAAUAUUUGCUUGGUUGCUUUUUCGUGGACGGCUAAACACCAAGUGCAACCUGUUUCACAAGACAAUCGUCCCUGAUGCCUCCUGCCCGCGCUGUGGCGGCCCAUCUGAAGACACUGCCCACCUGUUCCUCCUCUGCCCUCACGCAGCUCGGAUUUGGGAACGGUUGGGUCUCUCCCCAUCGUCAAGAUUCCAGGACCUAUGGCUACUACCGGUACCCGCUAACUUAAAUGGUCGCGUUUGGCCUGAGGUGCUACUCAUGAUACUCUCCAAGAUAUGGGAUUCUAGAAACGCGGCUGCCUUCCGUAACGAAUCACAUUCUGCCAUCCUCACUGUGAGGAACAUCUGUAAUGAUCUUGAAAUUUGUAAUAACCGCUUCAGAGACCCGGUUGACAAGGCAGUUGCCAACUCUUGGCUGCUGUUCCUUACCUCACGGCUAGCCGUGACCUUGUAA
rnacentral:rRNA from 1 species